CCUACGGGGAGGCAGCAGUAGGGAAUAUUGGCCAAUGGACGGAAGUCUGACCCAGCCAUCCCGCGUGCAGGAAGAAGGUUCUCUGGAUUGUAAACUGCUUUUGUUUGGGAAGAAAGAGUUCCGUUAUCGGGAUAUUGACGGUACCAGACGAAUAAGCACCGGCUAACUCCGUGCCAGCAGCCGCGGUAAUACGGAGGGUGCAAGCGUUAUCCGGAUUUACUGGGUUUAAAGGGUGCGUAGGCGUCUCAACAAGUUUUCGGUGAAAGCUUUCCGCUUAACGGGAAAACUGCCGAAAAAACUGUUGAGAUUGAAUUUAGGUGAAGUGAGUGGAAUACAACAAGUAGCGGUGAAAUGCUUAGAUAUGUUGUAGAACACCGAUUGCGAAGGCAUCUCACAAAUCUAACAUUGACGCUGAGGCACGAAAGCGUGGGUAGCGAACAGGAUUAGAUACCCUGGUAGUCCACGCCCUAAACGAUGAAUACUCGAUGUUUGGUUCUUCGGAGCUGAGUGUCCAAGCGAAAGCGUUAAGUAUUCCACCUGGGAAGUACGGCCGCAAGGUUAAA
rnacentral:rRNA from 1 species